CUUCACCGAGCCCAGCCACAGCGGCCGCUCGGCGGGACGGUCCCGUCCGUAGGUCGCCAGCAGUGCCUGUGCCUC
rfam:Actinoalloteichus hoggarensis strain DSM 45943 chromosome, complete genome.